CUACGGGAGGCUCCAGUGGGGAAUAUUGCACAAUGGGGGGAACCCUGAUGCAGCAACGCCGCGUGGAGGAUGACGCAUUUCGGUGUGUAAACUCCUUUUAUAUGUCAAGAAAAUGACGGUAGCAUAUGAAUAAGCACCGGCUAACUCCGUGCCAGCAGCCGGCGGUAAUACGGAGGGUGCAAGCGUUACUCGGAAUCACUGGGCGUAAAGGACGCGUAGGCGGGUUGGAAAGUCAGGUGUGAAAUCCUACAGCUUAACUGUAGAACUGCACUUGAAACUUCUAAUCUAGAGUAUGGGAGGGGGAGAUGGAAUUAGUGGUGUAGGGGUAAAAUCCGUAGAUAUCACUAGGAAUACCUAAAGCGAAGGCGAUCUCCUGGAACAUUACUGACGCUAAGGCGUGAAAGCGUGGGGAGCAAACAGGAUUAGAUACCCCCGUAGUC
rnacentral:rRNA from 1 species